GUGAAAUGAUGAUUCAGUUUAUCCAUUCGCUGAGUGCGCAGGCACUGACCUUCUUCCAAGCCUCAGUUCCUGUUCUAGGAACAGGGGUACAUAGCCUCCAAAUGCCCUGCAGUCUACAGUGUUCUACUGUGGACAGUUUGUGUAUUGGGGGACUGUUGGUAAGAAUGGCUGGUGUCAGCAGGGGUGGUGCUCGUUGGGCCCCAUCUCACCGAGAUGAGUGUUGAAAAUCUGAUUAC
rfam:Erinaceus europaeus unplaced genomic scaffold scaffold00012, whole genome shotgun sequence